UUAUUAUUUAUUUUCUUAGGUAUGAUAAUGGUAUCAUUAUAUAGAAGAAUAACAUUCUACUUAGGAGAUGCAUAUUGAAUACUGAGGUAUUUAGGAGUGAAGAGUUUACCACUUAAAGUGUUUCAUAUAUAAAACUUUUUUUUUUUUUUUUACCUGGACAUGCGGCUUGUGUGUAAACUGGGGCUGGCUGGGCGGUCCAGGCACCUGGCCUGAGGCCCCAGCACGGCCUGCUCACAGGAGCAUGUGACCAUGGGAGGAAUGACAAAGUCAGGUGUCUUGCUCCAAGUUAUCCAGACAGGAUGUGGGAGGGGGUAGUGGGGACACAGGAAGUCAGUGAAAAGAUCCCCCUGGCCUUGGCCUGUUCAAAGACCUCGGCACCUACGAAGCCAGUCCGUCAGUGUGCUUCUGACCUGCUACUCACUGGCUCAUGGGCCAGGGCCCAGUCAAGUUCGAGGUGCAAUUCAAGUCUUUGGAGAGCACAGUUCCUCUUUCCCGUGGGGUUACCUGCACAGGUCUCAGCACAGAGGAGGGGGCUGCAGUGGUGGUCACUGCUGGGGCGCAUCCUUAGGCAGGCAUCUUGGUGGAGGAGGAGGCCUCCUUCUUCUUGGUGCUGGCUUUCAUCACCACAUCAUGCUCAAUCUUCUUCCGGAUCCCAACCUCCAGGUUCUUCUUGAGCUGCUGCUGCUGCACGAUGCGUGCCUUCUUGGGUGCGAUAACGCGACCGCCCUUCCUCGGGCCCCGGUUCCGCGCCGAGGCCGCCGCCGCCGCCGCCUUGCUCUUCGCUGGCUUCUGCGCCUGGAACUUGCGCUGCCCCUGCGCCAUUAUCAGCCACCAAAACUUUCUAUUUAAAGUAAAUAUGGCAAAAUGUUAACAAAAGUUUAAUCAAGAUAUCGUACAUGCAAAUGUCAUGGUUCUGUUCUUCUUCCUUAUGCUUGAAAUUUUCUGGAACAGACAGUUGAAAAAAAUAGCUUGAAAAGAAAACAGAUGAAGACCUAGACCACCCAGCCCCAAGAGGUGGAAUUGGAGUUGCUGUUGGGGUACAGGGGGAGCACCAGAAUGGAAGCCAGUGGAGCCUCCAAGACUGGAGGAGCCACUUGAAGGUAAGAUUCACAUCACCUGGGCCCAAGUGAGCACUGUCAGUGGCGAGCGCCAUGUGCCACAUGCUCAGCCAAUGACCAGAAUUCAGCCAACGUUCGGUGCCUAUGCCAAUCAGCCCCUUUUGCUGCACUCACUGUCCCCAAGGGAGGGCAUCCCCCUAGGAGUUGCCUUUGUGUGGCUUUCAUGGUCCAGCAGGGACAAUGCCCACCCAUGCCUUGGUAUUUUCUUAGCCCAAGAGACCUAUUUAAUGAGAAAGAUCCUAUUUUCGGUGGCUCAGGACACUUAUAAACCCCACUGAGGGGACGAUGGGGAUUUAAAACAUCCUGGCCUCCAGUGCCUGUGCUUGGGUAGAACUGAAUAGAACCAUUUCUCGAUUUCUUCUGGGAUCAGGAGUUGUUAAAAACCCACUCACAUGACAUAAAGAAAUCCCCACACAUUCCUGAAGGAAACUAACCUAUAUUAGCUCAAAAAAAAAAAAAAAAAAACACCUUGUCACUUCUGAGCAAACACCCUCCAGAUCCCAGCAGUCCAAGAAAAUGAUAAAUGGGACCUUGGAAGAAGCAGAAACUGCUGAUGGCACAGCCACUCAGAAGCAGAGAAAGAUUUGACAAACUUCCACACAGAAAUCUAUAUUCCAUAGGUUUCAAGACUCUUUUGCCUCCUACUUUCUCAGUGUCUUUUUGUUUUCUGAAAAUGUGACUAAUUCCAAAAUCAGUUUAUAAUAAUGAUGAUUUCAUCUGUUCUCAAAGUCCCUGUUUCAUAAAUGAGCCAAAAGUUAAGAGGCAUUGUCCGUCCAUAUUUUUAUCCGUCCAUAAUUUAAAACAAACAUUUUAAAUUAGAUGAGAUUGUUAAAUUCGUAAUCUGUUGGAAUAAACCACAUCAUCAUUGUGCUAUUAACA
rnacentral:lncRNA from 1 species